rnacentral:lncRNA from 1 species
AAUCUGCCACCGCUGCCACCGAGCCGAGGGGCGCCAGCAAGGCAUCCCCUGGGUCAAGGGGCCUCCCGUGGGCUUUCCAAACAGCCUGUGCUCAUUUCCGCGGGAGCCCUCGGGGCGCUGUGCUGUGGCUGCAUUGUCACUGUUUGUUUAUUUCUACAUCUGCUCUGUUAGAAGAUAGGCUCGCUUAGGACAGAGCCUUCUAAUCCACCCCCUGAUGAAUUCGGGCCCUCGCCUUUGGCACAAUGCCUGGCGUCAUCACAACGCGGGUGAUCAGUAAACGGCAGCGAAGGAAGCGGGGUCAGGACUGGAGAGGAGAGGGGGAGGAAGACAGACGACCGGAGAGGAACAAAAAUGGAAGGCAGUGUUUCAAGAACCCAGCUCCAUUCAUCCUAUGAUGCCACCAUCCUCAGCAUUUGACUUCCAUGGCUCCUGUAAGAGAAGAGAACAUGAAGAACAAAACAGGAGGUUUUUAUGGGAGGCAUGUCAAUUUGACCAGAUACUUUGCCCAGAACCUUGUCACAUGGCCUCUGCCUAAAUGACAAUGAGGCUAGUGGCUGGGUGUGGUGGCUCAUGCUUGUAAUCUCAGCACUUUGGGAGGCUGAGCCAGGAGGGUCUCUUGAGCCUAGGAAUUCAAGAUCAGCCUGGGCAACAUAGGGAGACUUCGUCGCUACAAAAAAAAAUAAAUUAAAAAUUAGCUGGGCAUAGUGGCACAUGCCUGUAGUCUCAGCUAGUUGGGAGGCUGAAGUGGGAAGAUCACUUGAGCUGGGAGGUUGAGGCUGCAGUGAGCCGAGAUCACGCCACUGCACUCUAGCCUGAAUGACAAAGUGAGACCCUAUCUCAAAGAAAAAACAAAAAAUGAGUCUGGGUAACGUAGCCUGUGAGACCAGAAAGAAGCAUCAGGAUUGGCGAGUAUUAAUACCAUCUCUACCAUAAACAUUUUUGGAAAUAUUUCUUUUUUUUUUUUAGAGAAAGGGUCUUGCUGUGUUGCCCAGGCUGGUCUCAAACUCCUAGCCUCAAGCAAUCUUCCCAACAUAGCCUCCAAAAGUGCUGGGAUUACAGGCAUGAGCCAACAAGCCUGGCCCUAGAAAUAUUUCUUUCUCUAAAUUCAAAGUAACUAGGGGGAAUAUUAAUCUCAUUCUAAAUAUUUUAUUUUGUCACUCCCUAUCCUUUGUUUUCAAACACCUCACACUACUAUUAUGUGUUAUCACGAGUCAACUGUUUACAUGUCUAUCUCCAGCUGUUGGUUGGGAGCUCACUGAAAAAGGAAACCUUUGUAAUUCAUUUUUGUAUCCUGAGGGCUUAGCACAGAGGCUGGCACCUGUUAGACCUAAGAAGGAUUGGCAACUCUGGACAAAUCAGAGAAGGAGCGUUGUCAACCCUUUUCUCCUGGUGAUGAUGAUGGUGAUGGUCAAUGUCCACUCCCAAAUAUCUAUAUUGGGAAGAGGUGGUUUGUAGGAUAUGCUGCCAAGAGAAUUUUUUUCUUUAAGAACAAAUAAACUAAAGAAAUUAACAUCCAGCUUGCUGAGUCACUUGCUUUCCACUUGAAUUUUAACUACAAGGAUCUGAAGACAGCCUGUGUUAGGCAGAGAAAGAAAGAGACAGAGAAAGAGUCAGGGAGAAGAGAGGAAGAGAGAUGUAGCUGGAGAGUCAGGGAGAAAUUCAAAGAGAUGGAGAGAGAGACUGGUUCUGGAAAGAAAAGAUAAGUUAAAUAGAAAAAGGAAAGUAAUCUUUGAAAGGUUUGUUUAAGACAUGUAUUUUCUUACUCUGUAGUGGGAGCGCUGAAUAAAAAUAUUUAAAUAAAAGCUGUAAUGUGAUUAAGGUUUGAGUUGGGGUUUAAUCGUGGAAAGAGCAAGGUAUUUAGAGUGAAAGAUCUAACUUUUGUAUUUAUUUUUCAUUUUUUAGUGUUUUCGCUUUUUUAAUCCCAGGUCCUCUACCAUUGACUAUCUGAUGUUAACAAAAUCAGUUCGCUUUUGUGUCUUGGUUUCCUCAUCUAUGAAAAGGGAAUAGAAAAACUUACCACAUAAGUUGGUAGGGAAGACACAAUUCUAUAAAAUAUAUUGGAUGAUCUGUGAAACCACCUGACACCAAAAGGGAAUAAUAAAUUCCCUUCUCUCUUCUUUUUCUACACCAUCUCUUUUUAAUUCUACCAGAAAGUUCCUUUCUCUAUGAGGCUUCUUGAAGACUGGCUGUAUACAGGAAAACUGUAUUUCUAAUUCUGCUAUUUAUUGGAAUACUAGGUCAAGUUUUUCCUCCUUCUUAUUCUAUUUAAUCUUCACAAUAACCCUACAUGAGUUUAUCUUCAUUUUACAGAGAAAACAGAGGCUUACAGAGGUUAAAAAAAAAUUCCCAAAUCCACACAGAUAGUCUUUUAGUAAUCUAUUGCCAUAAUAAUACAGUAUUGAAAUUUCCCCCAAAUUCGGCAGCUCACAACAACCAUUUUGUGUGACUCAUCAACCUGUGGGUCAACUUGGCCGUUCUGCUGGUUGAAGCUGGCCUCAGCAGGACACACUCCUGCAACUAUAGUCAUCUGGGCUUUGGCAAAUCCCUUUAGUCUAUAGCCAAAGAGCAAUAAGUGAGCAGCAAGAAACUGAAUUAUCUCUGACCCUUUUAUUAAAUAAAAUGCUGAUCUUGGGCCAGCUAACUAACCUUCCAGAACCCCAUGCCAAGGCUUUCCUUUGGUCCAGUGCCUUAAACCCAUGCAGUCCUGGGGUAGAGAAAUGAGGAAGCCCAUAAUUCUGGCAGAAAGGCUGCCUCUCAUUCCCAAAUACCCCUGAGAGAGAUGAAUGAUAGCAGGAUGGAGCCUGCCAAGGGCACACAGACAGGGCAUACAGAAUCGUCCAACCUCUCACCAAUUCAAGGGCAGGGCAAUUAAGAGGCCAGAACUCACCACAGCUAGAAAUUAUUUACGUUAAUGCUUUAGCACAAUGUGGUCCACUAACCAGCAACAUCAGCAUCACAUGGGAGUUUGUUAGCAAUGUUGACUUUUGAACUCCAUUCCAGACCCACUAAAUCAGAAUCUGAGAAGCACAGGUUCAGCAAGAAUCGCACCAGGAGUAUACCACUGGAAAAGCAUGUGUAGCCAGAUUUACUGUAUUAGAUGAAUUAACGCUUCAAGGCCCAGCACCUUACUGAGUUUCUGACCUCCCACCCAAGCACUCAAUACUUUCCCCUGUCAAUUGGCCCUGCUCUCUGGGAUGAGUGCCUGGUAUUUUUGCUUGCUCCGUAUGCAUUUCCUUCUUGUUUGCCUCAUUCUGAUUUUUCCUUGAAAGGAGUUUCCUUCCCCACUCCUAGUCGAUGUGUGUCAGGUUGACUUAUCAUGGCUUCUGGGAAUGAAUAUAUGACCCAGGUCUGACCAAUUAAAAAAAGUAGGGAUUUUGCUGGAACGAUUGGAAAAGUGGCAUGUUCUUUUCUGCUGUUGAUGAUAAUUGGCUGAGUCUAUCUGAGAAUGAAAUCAACACAGAGAUGAUGAGAGAUAAGUUCCUGAUGACAUUGUUUGAGCACCUAAAUCCAGCCUUGCUUGAAACUAUAGAUCUGAUUCCAGAUUUUUUAACUGCAUACGCCAAUACAUUUCCUUUUAUGCCUAAGUUAUUGUGGUCUGGUUUCUAUAAUUUGCAAGCAAAAUGGUCCUGGUCUGCAAAGCCACCCUAUGUUGUAAGCUUGAUGCCCCCCUCACAAGUUUUUGCCUCAACUUCCUGUCUCUCUUCUGUUUCCAAUCACCUGUGACAGUCAUUUUCCAAUUUCCAAAUUACGAAAUUUUUACAUAUUAUAUUUGCUGUCAUAACACAAGUGGGAAUUGACCCCAGAGACUUGGGAUAGACACAAUUCUUCAAUAACAUAGAAUAGGCCUGAAGUGCUCAGUUCUGUCUAGAAGCUCACUACUCAAAUAUAUACUGUGGGGGAAAGUAACCGCCUGAUGGUUAAAAGGCUGGCCCCGUAUUUCCUCCUCUUCCUCAGUUUCCUCAUUCAUGAAAUCAGCAGACAUUUUGGAGAUUUACUUCAGCCCAGACUUUCUAAGACACUCAUAGUUAGGGGUUCCUGGUUUAAAUAGAUUGCGACAACUUAACAUGCAGCUUAACAUGAAACACAGAUGGCAGAAAAAUAAAAAGGUGCCUCUAUCAGUUACAAAGAAAUUGGUUGGGCGCAGUGGCCCACGCCUGUAAUCCCAGCACUUUGGGAGGCCGAGGCGGGUGGAUCACCUGAGGUCAGGAGUUGGAGACGAGCCUGGCCAACAUGGUGAAACCCCAUCUCUACUAAAAGUACAAAAAUUUGCCCGGUGUGGUGGUGGGCGCCUGUAAUUCCAGCUACUCAGGAGGCUGAGGCAGGAGAAUCACUUGAAUCCAGGAAGUGGAGGUUGCAGUGAGCCAAGAUCAUAGCACUGGACUCCAGCAUGGGCGACAAGUGGGAGACUCCAUCUCAAAAAAAAAAAAAAAGAAAGAAAGAAAAAGAUUGGCUAGACCCUGUGUGUGGCAUGACAUCCUAUUCCAACUAAACACAAUGUUCUAUUUUACAAAUAAGAAAACAAGCUAAGAGAAGUUAAUUGGUUUUCAAAAAGUCACACAGUACAGACAUAGCAGAGGAAGAAUGAGAACCUACAGCAGAGUUGAGAAGGUUCAACAGAAUAACGGGUCAUGUUUGGGCACUUGUAUUCUGGAGCUGGCACCUGGGUCCUGGCACUUAUUAGCUGAAUGUCCUUGGGUAAGAUAUUUAACUGCCCUGUGUCUCAGUUUACUCAUUUGUUCAAUGGGCAUUAUAAUAGUAUAAACAUCAGAAAGUUGUAGGGGGUUAAAUCUCUAAAGUGUUUAGAAUGCUUGCAACUUAUAACAUUUUAUAUGUGUGUUUAUUAAAUAAAUAAAAAUAAAUCUGACUUCAUGUCCAAAGUAUAUUUUUCAUACCCUGCAGCUGUCCUGUACCAGAAAUAUCUCUUCCCACAAGAUCUCUUUAACGACCUGGCAAUGUGUGUAAAACCUCACCUUACUCAAUUCUUAAAAUUACUCUGAUUUUCUAGCUUGGUGAGAAGUCUCUAAAUGCUUACUAUGAAUUAGUUACCUGAUAAUCUAUCCUUAGUAGAAGCUAUCUGCCGCAGCAGAUUAGGUCACUAGGGCUUCUUGAAGGGAGAAAGGAAUUAGAAAAAAAGCAUCGAGUGGAUGGAAAGAACCAGAAAGAAACAAACAAGGCAACACCUAUUAGUUUAUUCAUGGUUGACCCAAGGAAUAGAUUGAAAUACCAGAUGCACCUGAAAAAUAAUUUUUUCUCACUCUGGCACCCAAGCUGGAGUGCAGUGGGCUGGGUGGAGGGGGGAGGUCAUGGUUCACUCCAGCGUCAACCUCCCCAGCUCAAGCGGUCCUCCCACUCAGCUUCCCAGGUAGCAGGGACCACAGGCAUGUGCCACCACACUUGGCUACUUUUUUAAAAAAAUUUUUGGUAGAGACAGGAUCUGACUGUGUUCCCUAGGCUAGUUUCAAACUCCUAGACUCAAGCAAUCCUCCCGUUCGGCCUUCCAAAUUGUUGGAAUUACAGGUGUUAAUCACUGCACCUGGCCUGAUUUUUUAAUUAUCAAAUCAUGUUCAGAACUCACUUCAAUCCAAUUAACUGAGGAUUUCUGGAAAGGUUACCCAGGCAUCAGUAUUUUUUCACUGUGAUAAAAUACAUAUAAAAUGUACUAUAAUAAUUUACUUUAAUAAUUGUCUUGACAAUUUUUAAGUGUAGAGUUCUAUGGAAUUGAGUACAUUCACAUGGCUGUGCAACCAUCACCACCAUCCAUCUCUAGAACUCUUUUCAUCUUGCAAAACUUAAAUGCUGUGCCCGUUGAACAAUAACUUUCUCUUUUCUCCAUCUUCACCCUGACAACCACUAUUUUACUUUCUGUCCCUAUGAAUUUCACUACUCUAGGUACUUCACGUAAGUGAAAUCAAACAAUAUUUGUACUUAUGUGACUUGCUUAUUUCACUUAGCAUAGUAUCCUCAAGGUUCAUCCACGUUGUAGUAUGUGUCCAAGUUUUCUUCCUUUUUAAGGUGGAAAAUAUUGCAUUUUAUGUAUAUGAAUUUUACAUAUCCAUGCCUCCAUCGAUGGACACUUGGGUUGUUUCCCUCUUUGGCUAUUGUGAAUAAUACUGCUAUGAACACGGUGGGCAACUCCCUCUUCUAAACCUUGCUUUCAAUUCUUUUGGAUAUAUACCCAGAAGUGGAACUGCUGGAUUAUAUGGCAAAUUAUUUUUAAUUUUUCAAGGAUACAUCUUACUGUUUUCUAUAGUAACUACCAUUUUACACUGCCACCAGCAAUGCACAGGAGUUCCAAUAUCACUACAUUUCUUUCAAUACUUGUUAUUUUCAGGUUUUUUUCUUAGUAUCUAUUCUAAGGGGUGUGAGGUGGCUUCUCAUUGUGGUUUUGAUUUGCAUUUCUCCAAUGAUUAGUGAUAUUGGACAUCUUUUCAUGUGCAUAUUGGCCAUUUGUAUAUCUUUUAGGAAAAAUAUCAGUUCCAAUACUUUGCCCAUUUUUGAGAUGGGUUGUGUGGUUGUUGUUGAAUUAUAGCUUUUUAUGAAUUCUGUAUAUUAAUUCUUUAUCAGAUAUGCUAUUUGCAAAUAUUUUCUUCCAUUUUGUGGGUUGUCUUUUCACUCUAUUAAUUAUUUCCUUUGAUGCCUAGAGAUUUUUAUUUUUGAUGUAGUCCAACUUACUUUUUUUUCUUUUGUUGCCUGUGCCUUUGGUAUUUCCACUUUUUUUGGCUAUUGGACAUAAUGCUGCUAUGAACAUUUAUGUACAGGAUUUUUUUGAUGGAUAUGUGUUUUCAGUUCUCUUGGGUUUAUGCCUAGAAGUAGAACUGCUGCAUCAUAUGGUAGCUCUGUGUUUAAGUUUCUGAGGAACUGCAAAAAUGUUUCCAAAGUGGCUACACCAUCUUAUACCUUACCAACAAUAGAUAAGUGUUAUAUAUUCUCCACAUCUUUACCAACACUUGCUAUUUUUCAUCUUUUAGAUUAGAGAUAUCUUGGGGAUGUGAAGCAGUAUCUCCUUGUGGUUUUGAUUUGCAUUUCCCUAAUGACUGAUCAUGUCAAGCAUUUUUCAUGUGUUUAUUAGCCAUUUGUAAUCUGCUUUAGAAAAAUAAUUCUUAAAUUUUUUUCUCAUUUUUAAGUUGUGUUGUCUUUUUAUUGAGUUGUAAAGGUCCUUUAAAUACUCUGCAUAGAAGUCCUUUAUCAGAUAUAUGAUCUGCAAAUAUUAUUUUCCUUUUUGCUUUUUGCCUUUUCAUUUGUAAAAUUGUAUCUUUAGAAACACAUUUAACUUUUUUUUAUUUUGAGGAAGUCAAAUUUAUAAUUUGCUGUCAUUUGUAUUUUGGUGUUCAAUGCCUGAUCCAGGGUCAUAAAAAUGUGCACAUAUGUUUUAUGCUAAGAUUUUUAUAGUUUUAGCUCUUAAGGUUUUGAUCAAUUUUGAGUUAAUUUUUUUCUAUGAUAUGAGGAACUGGGCCAACCUCAUUCUUUUGCAAAUGAACCUCAUUCUUUUGCAUAUUUUGCAGUUUUCUGAGCAUCAUUUGUUGAAAAUACUGCCCUUUCCCCAUUGGUCUUGGAGCCUUUGUCAAAAAUGAUUUGACCAUACUAUAUGCAAGCAUUUAUUUCUGGACCCUCUAUUCUAUUCCAUUGGUCUGACUUUAUGCCAAUACUACACUGCCUUGAUUAUGAAGCUUCAUUGUAAGUUUUGAAAUCAGGAAAUCUGAAACUGCAACUUUAUUCUUCUUUUUCAAUAUCAUUUUGGUUAUUUAGAAUCCCUUGAGAUUCUAUAUGAAUUUUAGAGGGAUUUUUCUAUUUCUGAAAAAAAAUGUCAAUGAGAUUUUGAUAGGAAUUGCAUUGAACCUAUAGAUCACUUCGGGUAAGUUAGUUUUUCUAUAUGGUGUGAGAAACAGAUACGCCAUUUUUUUGCAUGUGGAUAUCCAAUUCUUGCAGCACCAUUUGUUAAAAAUACUAUUUUUUUCCACAUUGAAUUCUGUUGUCACCCUUGUCAAAAAAUAAAUUAAUCAUAAAUGAAAGGGUUACUUCUGGACAUUUAAUCUGAUCCCAGUUAUUUGUUUUUAUGUUGGUGUCGUAAAGUCUUUAUUACUAUACCUUUGUAUUAAGUAUGGAAAUGCGGAAGUGUGACUCUUCCAACUUUGUUCUUCUUUUUCAAGAUUUUUUGGCUAUUCUGGGUUACUUGCAUUGCUAUAUAAAUUUUAGAACCAUACUGUUUAUUUUCCCAAAAACAUUUCUGGGUUUUUCAGUAAAGUUUUUGUUUUGUUUUGUUUUGUUUGUUUGUUUGGAGAUGAUGUCUCGCUAUGUUGCCCAGGCUGGGCUUGAACUCCGGGACUCAAGGGAUCCUCCCACCUCAGCCUCUUGAGUAGCUGAGAUUACAAAGAGCACAGAAGCUUUCAGGGUGGAGAGUCAGGACAGGUUCUAUGGACAUAUGGAGCUCCCAGGGGGGCUUGUGCAGGACUCAAGGAAAUGUCCAGCUUAACCUGCUGGGCACAACAAUUUUGCUGCUUCAACCCAUCUGCUAUGGAAAAUGAGGAGCCAACAAAAAAGGGAGAAACAGAGGUGAAGGCACCUGAUAAUGAAAGCUUUAAGAAAGGGAAGGGGUUCUUCCUCCCUACUGGACCACAGGCGUGUCUCAGCAUUGGGAAGGGUCCUAGGAUGCAUUGUAAAAGAAAGUCUGUAAUUUUGGUGCAUCAAGGAACAAAAGUGUGGAAACAUCCAGCCUGUGGCUGCUGGACACUCCCCUUCUUCCUUCUCACCAUACUGUCUGUAAUAAAGAAUAAAGUGUUAUUUAAUAUUCUGAGUGUACAGUCCUAUUUUUUCUUAACCUGGCAAACCAGAAACAGCAACUAAUAUUCCUGGUUCUCUUUUUACCUUUCACAAGAUCUAUAUCUACCUUAGAGGCUUCAGGGAACAAGAACAGCCUGGAUAGUUUAAACCUAGAGUUAAACUACUCGAGGCAUUUUAAGGUACCGCUACUUCACUAUAUAUAAA